UGUAUUCUGCUAUGUCUACUGGGAGAAUACACUAGUGGGGAUAGUUCUGUGUAUACAGUGAUUAAGCACAUAGGUUCUGGAGCCAGUCUGUUUCUUUCAAAAUCACCUCAUUGCUUUUGAAGAAUCAGGGAAACCCCCAUGAGACUACAGGUGUGAAGCAAGAUAGAAGCAUCAGUGCAAAAGAGAUUCUCUUACUGAGAUACCUUGGAACAUGGUUUGAAUAAUAUUGCUCUAACUUCUUUCAUGUCAGGAAGCUCUGAGAUGCAGAAACACAGAAAGGAAGAGGAUUAGCAACUUUCCCAGAUCUGAGUUGAGCUGAGAUUUGAGUCAAGGCAAUAUUGCUUCUGGGGCUGUAACAACUACAUUUUAUUGUCUCCUGAACAGAUACUUCCUUUUCUUACUUAAUAAGAAUAGACCUUGGAGGUCUGGACCUGGACAUGAACGUACACUUUUCUAAAGAAGAUAUACACAUGGCCAACAAGCAUGUGAAAAAAAGCUCAAUAUCACUGAUCAUUAGAGAAAUGCAAAUGAAAAUCACAAUGAGAGACCAUCUCACACCAGUCAGAAUGGCUAUUAUUAAAAACUCAAAAAAUAACAGAUGCUGGCGAGGUUGCAGAGAAAAGGGAACACUUAUACACUGUUGGUGGGAGUGUAAAUUAGUUCAACUAUUGUGUAAAGCAAUAUGUCAAUUCCUCAAAGAGCUAAAAAAGAACUACCAUUGGACUCAGCAAUCCCAUUACUGGGUAUAUACUCAGAGGAAUAUAAGUCACUCUACUAUAAACACACACGCAUGCAAAUUUUCAUUGUAGCACUAUUUACAAUAGCAAAGACAUGGAAUCAACCUAAAUGCUCAUCAAUGACAGAUCGGAUAAAGAAAAUAUGCAUCUUCAACCUUUCUGGACUACAGCACCUGCCAACUGACCCCCACAUCAUGGCUCCAACGCUGGCUUCAUCACAUAUCUUCUCUCUCAGUCCCUUUGGCUCUCAGGGUGCAAUAGCUUAACAAAAUUGCUGAUCUAGGUGCCUCAGCAUUGUUUCUUUGUCAUAGUCUCUGUAUUAUCUUAUUUUGAGCCAUUCUUUUCCUGCAAAGAUCCUAACUGAAUGAGAUAACUACUUCAUAAGCUAUUUGUAAGGUUUAAAUAAAUUAAUGCAUAUUUAAUACAUGAA
rnacentral:lncRNA from 1 species